rnacentral:tRNA from 2 species
GACCCCUUCGUCUAGGGGUUAGGACUCCAGAUUUUCAUUCUGGCAACAGGGGUUCGAAUCCCCUAGGGGUCGCCA